rnacentral:rRNA from 1 species
AUUGAACGCUGGCGGCAGGCCUAACACAUGCAAGUCGAGCGGAGCGGCGGACGGGCGAGUAAUGCCUAGGAAGAUGCCUGGCCGAGGGGGAUAGGGUCCGGAAAGGGGCGCUAAUACCGCAUACGAUCUGAUGAGACUAGGUCGGAUUAGCUAGUGGGUGGGGUAAGGGCCUACCAAGGCGACGAUCCGUAACUGGCCUGAGAGGAUGAUCAGUCACACUGGAACUGAGACACGGUCCAGACUCCUACGGGAGGCAGCAGUGGGGAAUAUUGGACAAUGGGCGAAAGCCUGAUCCAGCCAUGCCGCGUGUGUGAAGAAGGUCUUCGGAUUGUAAAGCACUUUAAGUAGGGAGGCGUUACCUACAGAAGAAGCACCGGCUAACUUCGUGCCAGCCGCCGCGGUAAUAC